UACGGAGGGUGCAAGCGUUAUCCGGAAUCAUUGGGUUUAAAGGGUCCGCAGGCGGUCUUAUAAGUCAGUGGUGAAAGCCUACAGCUCAACUGUAGAACUGCCAUUGAUACUGUAAGACUUGAAUUCGAUCGAAGUGGGCGGAAUAUGACAUGUAGCGGUGAAAUGCUUAGAUAUGUCAUAGAACACCGAUAGCGAAGGCAGCCCCCUGGGAUAACACUGACGCUCAUGUAUGAAAGCGUGGGUAGCAAACAGG
rnacentral:rRNA from 1 species